UUAGAGUGCUCAAAGCAAGCC
rnacentral:siRNA from 1 species